rnacentral:rRNA from 1 species
UACGUAGGGGGCAAGCGUUGUCCGGAAUUAUUGGGCGUAAAGAGCGUGUAGGCGGUCCGGUAAGUCGGUUGUGAAAGUCCAGGCUCAACCCUGGGAUGCCGAUCGAUACUGCCGGACUAGAGUCCGGAAGAGGCGAGUGGAAUUCCCGGUGUAGCGGUGAAAUGCGCAGAUAUCGGGAGGAACACCAAUGGCGAAGGCAGCUCGCUGGGACGGUACUGACGCUGAGACGCGAAAGCGUGGGGAGCGAACAGG